rnacentral:rRNA from 1 species
AUCAUUAGCGAGUGGUUUUCGUCGCGAGACGAGCUGCCCGACCUGUUGUCAUUCGCACUGGGGCGUGGGGGUCGGAGGCUUGGGAUUCGGGUUACCCGGAGGGGACGAAGGUUCCUGAAGGGGGCUCGGGCCCGGGCCGACCCGCCCGCGGCUCCGGCAUCAUAUACUUCGGCGGAAGAGGUAGGCGUUGACCUGCCCGCCGCCGGCCGUAACGUUUUACACUCUUGAGGAAGCUGAAGUCUGAACUUUUGGAUGAAAAAAAAAGCAAAACUUUCAACAACGGAUCUCUUGGCUCUGGCAACGAUGAAGAACGCAGCGAAACGCGAAAGGUAAUGCGAAUUGCAGAAUCAGUGAGUCAUCGAAUCUUUGAACGCACAUUGCGCCUCUCGGUAUUCCGGGAGGCACGCCUGUUCGAGCGCCAUUACAAACUCCAAGCGUGGCUUGAUGUUGGCCGACGUUCCGAGAGGGACGCGGCUGGAACGCGUUGGCGCCGCCGCCGGACCACGAGCGUAGCAAGACGAGAGUCGCAUCGCAUCGUUGGGGUCGGACGGACGGCCGCGGCAAGAGCAUUUAUGCAGCACAAGUUUGGCC